rnacentral:rRNA from 1 species
CCUACGGGUGGCAGCAGUAGGGAAUCUUUCACAAUGGGCGAAAGCCUGAUGGAGCCACGCCGCGUGCAGGAUGAAGGCCUUCGGGUUGUAAACUGCUUUUAUAAGCGAGAAAUAUGAUGGUAACUUUUGAAUAAGGAUCGGCUAACUCCGUGCCAGCAGCCGCGGUAAUACGGAGGAUCCGAGCGUUAUCCGGAUUUAUUGGGUUUAAAGGGAGCGUAGAUGGUUUGUUAAGUCAGUUGUGAAAGUUUGCGGCUCAACCGUAAAAUUGCAUGUGAUACUGGCAGUCUAGAGUUUAGUUGAGGUAGGCGGAAUUCGUGGUGUAGCGGUGAAAUGCUUAGAGAUCACGAAGAACCCCGAUUGCGAAGGCAGCUUACUAAACUAUGACUGACAUUGAGGCUCGAAAGUGUGGGGAUCAAACAGGAUUAGAUACCCUUGUAGUC